rnacentral:rRNA from 1 species
GACGAACGCUGGCGGCGUGCUUAACACAUGCAAGUCGAACGGAAAGGCCCUGCUUUUGUGGGGUGCUCGAGUGGCGAACGGGUGAGUAACACGUGAGUAACCUGCCCUUGACUUUGGGAUAACUUCAGGAAACUGGGGCUAAUACCGGAUAUGAGCUCCUGCUGCAUGGUGUGGGUUGGAAAGUUUCGGCGGUUGGGGAUGGACUCGCGGCUUAUCAGCGUGUUGGUGGGGUAGUGGCUUACCAAGGCUUUGACGGGUAGCCGGCCUGCGAGGGUGACCGGCCACAUUGGGACUGGGAUACGGCCCAGACUCCUACGGGAGGCAGCAGUGGGGGAUAUUGCACAAUGGGCGGAAGCCUGAUGCAGCAACGCCGCGUGCGGGAUGACGGCCUGCGGGUUGUAAACCGCUUUCGCCUGUGACGAAGCGUGAGUGACGGUAAUGGGUAAAGAAGCAACGGCUAACUACGUG